GACGAACGCUGGCGGCGUGCUUAACACAUGCAAGUCGAACGGAAAGGCCCUGCUUGCCGGGUACUCGAGUGGCGAACGGGUGAGUAACACGUGGGUGAUCUGCCCUGCACUUCGGGAUAAGCCUGGGAAACUGGGUCUAAUACCGGAUAGGAGCCAUUUUUAGUGUGAUGGUUGGAAAGUUUUUUUCGGUGUAGGAUGAGCUCGCGGCCUAUCAGCUUGUUGGUGGGGUAAUGGCCUACCAAGGCGGCGACGGGUAGCCGGCCUGAGAGGGUGGACGGCCACAUUGGGACUGAGAUACGGCCCAGACUCCUACGGGAGGCAGCAGUGGGGAAUAUUGCACAAUGGGCGCAAGCCUGAUGCAGCGACGCCGCGUGGGGGAUGACGGCCUUCGGGUUGUAAACGCCUUUCGCUAGGGACGAAGCUUUUUGUGACGGUACCUAGAUAAGAAGCACCGGCUAACUACGUG
rnacentral:rRNA from 1 species